rnacentral:tRNA from 1 species
GGGGGUAGAUGUGAGUCAGUGAUAGACCAUCUGGUUUGUAUGCAGAAGGCCCCAGGUUCAAUCCCUGCGGUCCCA